rnacentral:rRNA from 1 species
CGCGUAGGUGGUUGUUUAAGUCGGAUGUGAAAUCCCCGGGCUUAACCUGGGAACUGCACCCGAUACUGGGCAACUAGAGUGCGAGAGAGGGAGGUAGAAUUCCACGUGUAGCGGUGAAAUGCGUAGAUAUGUGGAGGAAUACCGGUGGCGAAGGCGGCCUCCUGGCUCGACACUGACGCUGAGGUGCGAAAGCGUGGGGAGGCAAAACA